rnacentral:misc_RNA from 1 species
AACUGAUACUACCUGCGGGAACCUGCGGAGGGAUCAUCAUAGGAAAUUUAUCUUGUGAAUUUGCUCACCAGGCUGUGGUGGUGGUGGGGGGGAGAGAGGGUUGCUAAGGUUUUUGGAGUUUUCAUACUCUGCAACACUUUCUGUGGGAGCCUUGUUUCUCUCUCUCUCUUUCGCUUUCCGCUGCAGCUUCAACCAAACGAUCACAACUAUAUCAGGAGGGGAAGAUUUGACUUGGUGUGU